AUAUGCAAUUUAUUGCAACUUUCCACGACCAAAAUCCCAUCUUUCUCAGUUUCUCUUCCUUGUAUGAGGGGGCCUUCAUUUUGGCUGUUCGGGACAUCGUUUGCAAGUGUAUUUACAGAUCCUGAGGUGCUGCUAGUGCAGAUACAUCUAUCCAUUAUUAGAAAGGGGCAAAAGGGAUUGCUGCUGAGAAGAAAAUAAAAUACCACGAAUACAGAGAGAGAGAUGGAUAGAUUACAGUGGGGAAAUAGGAAGAGACUGAGAUG